AGAGUUUGAUCAUGGCUCAGGAUGAACGCUAGCGGCAGGCUUAAUACAUGCAAGUCGAGGGGCAGCACGGGUAGCAAUACCUGGUGGCGACCGGCAAACGGGUGCGGAACACGUACGCAACCUUCCCAUAACUGGUGAAUAGCCUUCCGAAAGGGAGAUUAAUACACCGUAACAUAGUUGAGUGGCAUCACUUGACUAUUAUAGCUUCGGCGGUUUUGGAUGGGCGUGCGCCUGAUUAGGUAGUUGGCGGGGUAACGGCCCACCAAGCCUUCGAUCAGUAACUGGUGUGAGAGCACGACCAGUCACACGGGCACUGAGACACGGGCCCGACUCCUACGGGAGGCAGCAGUAAGGAAUAUUGGUCAAUGGACGCAAGUCUGAACCAGCCAUGCCGCGUGAAGGAUGAAGGCCCUCUGGGUUGUAAACUUCUUUUAUCUGGGACGAAAAACGGACUUUCUAGUUCACUUGACGGUACCAGAGGAAUAAGCACCGGCUAACUCCGUGCCAGCAGCCGCGGUAAUACGGAGGGUGCAAGCGUUAUCCGGAUUUACUGGGUUUAAAGGGUGCGUAGGUGGGUAGGUAAGUCAGUGGUGAAAUCUUCAAGCUUAACUUGGAAACUGCCAUUGAUACUAUUUAUCUUGAAUACUUUGGAGGUAAGCGGAAUAUGUCAUGUAGCGGUGAAAUGCUUAGAUAUGACAUAGAACACCAAUUGCGAAGGCAGCUUACUACACAGUUAUUGACACUGAGGCACGAAAGCGUGGGGAUCAAACAGGAUUAGAUACCCUAGUAGUCC
rnacentral:rRNA from 1 species